GGCCACGCCACCACCUCCCCUUUCUUCUUGAUAAGGGCCAGCGAAGGCUGGGGUAGCCGCUGGCCAUUCGCUAGCUUCAGACCCUCAGUCUCAGCUACUUCCUCUCUGCAGAAGGAAAGUUUGUUUAUAAUUGCAGCCGUAGGACAUGACCGUAAGCUCAAAGAGACCUACUGUCCAGCAGGCAAAAAACCAAUAAAUUGCUUCCUCCCCCUAAAAGACCGCUGCGCUUCCAAAAGUGAAAGGGGCAGAAGGCAUUUCCACUCACCCAGAUGAAACUCUUUGAAAGGCUGCGAGCUUCCCCCGCAGUUAUAAAUGCCGAUCAUUCCUCCUACCCCCGCCCUCCCCGGAGCCCGUCCGGCUGUGGGACCCCGUUUCCCCCGCGGGAGCCGGCCCCGCCGAGGGCCUCCACUCGUGACCGUUCCUGCCCACAGCCCUGCAGCGGACGUGUCCCGCACGCCUCUCCCUGCCCUUUGCUUUCCUGGCAUCGCUAGGGAGACCGAAGGCGGCUUAUCCCUUCUCCCGGAGUGGGGUUUUCCUGCCCCGUCCCGGCCCCGAGGGCUUGCGGAGAGGGCCCUGUCCUGCCCCCCCUGCAUGUGAGCAAGGAGAGGGGGGGAAGCUGAGCCCUCUCCCAGCCCCGAAAUGACGCAGACCCCGCUCCAGCAUCGUCUCCUGUUUGGGCUGGCUCCAUUUCAGGAGCGCCGUCUCCCCCCACCCCCUUCUUACCAGCCUUCUUCCUUCCUCCUCCUCCUCGCCUCACCGUCACUCUCAAACACCCCCCCCCUCGCCCGCUCCCCCCACCGCCCCAAACUCCUUCCUCAGGACCGUGGGAUGCUGGUGAGCUCUGGCGAGAGUUGCCGGUCUCCAUUUCCAAGCGGGGAGCCGCCGGGAGCGCCUAUUUUACCAUUGAGGACGAGAUAGGCAGAAAAAGGAGCGCUUGACUUGGAGUCCAGCCCCGAUUUUAGUCCAAAGGACGUGCUUUUGGGAAUUGUGUGUCCGGCUCCAGCGUUUUGCCUGCUGAGGAAGAGGCCUGCUCUGUUCUCCAGCCUUGUUUUGUGGAUUUCUAUCUCUCCAAAUAAUUCCUCAGCAUCCCCUUGAAUGGCAUCUACCGCACUAGAGAGCUUUUCCAACCCACAAGCCUGAAACAACUUCCCACAACUGAAAUGACUCCAGCACAGCUAUUCCCUAGAAGACAUCCCUCCUGAUUUCUUGUGGGGCCUGUAAGAUAUCUGAAGUUGUAGGGAUGAGGUGACCAAAUUUGAAGACAGUAUUCAAAGUGAGGAUGUGCCACUGAUUUAUAUAAUAGCAUUAUAAUAUUUUCCAUAUUAUUCUCUAAAACUCUUUUCUUCGUACAAACCCCAUAAGAUUCUUUUUAAUUCUUUGAACUACAAUGCCUUUUAACAUCUGUAGUUUACUCUGAUCAGAUUUUGACAAAGGAAUAAAAGGCUCCAUUUUUCACAUAGAAUUUUAUUUAUUGUUUGAACUUUAGAGGAGAAAUUGGUUAACUUACAAUUUAAAAUUCUUGGCAAUGUAGACCAUUGGGCAAGGAUUUCAUUAUCAGCCAUUCUACGCUUUCUGUAGAAAUGUGUGAGGCUGAAAGUUGGUGCACAAGGUCUUAGCUUAAUAGACUUGUCUUUGGUUUUAUAAACAAAGCAAAAGACUUAACUGGAGUUGCCAGUAUUCCCAAAGAUGUCAGAAAUGUCAUUCACCUGUACCCCCUUCCUGAUGAAAUGUGCUGGGACUGUGCAUUGACAUGCUGUUCAACCAGGCCCACGCACAUGUACAAAAUUACCCGAGUUCUGUGGUCUCCUGUUUAUUGCACCACACACCUUCACACCAGGUCAGGGGAAGACCCCUUUGAAAAUGAAGUGCUUGAUGACUGCAGAGCAUGAGGAUCUCACUGUUGUGUCACAGCUGGGUGUUACACCCUCAUCAGGGUAUUAGAAAAGGCUCAGGGAAAACAGUUACAUCUGUUCUUAUUGCUUAAGACACUUCCUGCAGCUACUGCCUUUCCUUAGAGUUACCAAUCCAAGCACUGACCCUGCCUGACCCUACUUAUCUUGUAAAAGCUGACAAGAUCACAGCCUGAAGCAGUAUAGCCACAGGCUCAAUACUGGCUACCAAAAUGCCUGUUUAGUAUUUUCAAGAAACGCUAUUAUUCUAAAGAUGUGCAAUACCAGCUGUUAGAUAUAUGGACAACACCAACACACAGCCCUGACCCCUGAACAUUCAGCCCCACUUACACAGAAAUCUGUGCCUCUCAAGGGGCCAACAGUGAGCUACCACAACAUAGUGAUUGCCUACCUGUAAGUGAGCUGGAAUUUAAGCACCAUGUGAGGAUAUACACUCAGAUAUUGGGUAAAACUAUUUGAAAACUACAGUCUUGAGUUCAGAAUUCAUUGUUUGCUUCUUUCAUCAAUUGCAUUACUGCUUUAGCAAUAGAAAAAGCUCUGCCAUUUCUGUGUAAUAUAUAUAUCUAGCUUAGUGUAGAGAAUCUUCUUCAUUCUUCUGUGACCAAAGCAGUUUUUCAUCAGAAAGUAUUUUUAGAUGAACUGUAAGUUUCUUCCCUAGCAAACAUUUUGGCUCCACUGUUUGAAAGCAAAUACACGUUACCCCAGAUACCUCUAAGGCUAAACAAAAGUUUAAAUAUCCAAGAAAUACUAAGGGACAAAUCUGGUUUAAUUGUAUAUACAUUGUAUAUUCAUACACAAUAUACAAAAACAGUUCUUGCAGAAUGGUUUGGUGUGUUUGCGUUUUUUGGUUUUGUUUUGUUUCAUUUUAGCACAGCAAAGACAUGGAAAAGACACUGAGGUCCUAUUGCUCCUGUCGGAAAAUUCUGCUCGCUACAGCAUGAGUUGGAUUGGGCCCAGAGAAAGCAAAUACACACAAGUAAAGAGUUCACCAUACAAGCAAGGAAAAUCACAGAUAACAGAUUAAAUGAGAAAAACCAGUGCCAUCUCGACACCUGCCUCUGACCUUUUGUUGUGCUAGGAAGUGCGUAGAGGAAGGAACUGGGCCAGAAAUAGCAGAAAACUAAAUGAAGACAAUAAUUUCUCACUGUUAUUACUGGAGGGAAAGAAAAGAACAUUAGCAGCACUAAGAAACCCCAUUUCGCCUUUGUAGGAAGUGACUCUACUGUAUAACUGCUAGCAAAAUAAAGGAUCCAAAGGCACAUCAAGGGGAAAAAACUGUUUUCAUGUGUUUAACCUGUUAAUUAUAGUAAUCUACACUACAGUGUAAGUAUUGUAACCUGGAAUGGGAAAUGGGUGUCUGAAAGAAUGAGCUGACUAAGACAAAAAUGAUUAAAUCCACACUUCGAAUGGACAAUUUUCAUACGUAAUUUGAGCUACACAUUCUUAAGUUGUUUCAUUUUCACAUUUCUGUACUCAUCGGCAGGUAUCAAAGUGAAAGACUGGCUAAAAUGAAUGUUUUCUUACCUUCAUCUGCUGGAGUAUUUUAAAUACUUCUCAAAUGCUGAAAGAUGUGUUCUUCUGGAUCCAUAAGAUGUGUUUUAAGACAUGUUUCAUGUUUAAUAUGAAGUCAGAUUUUGAAAUCUUAGGCAUCCCAACAACAUUGGUUCUUUUCAUCUGCAGAAGAAAAAAUAUAAAUGCAAUGUUACUUUGAUACUCCUGAAUAUUCAAAAAGUCCUUAUUAAUUAUCAUUGGCUUUCCACAUGAUAGAACUAGCUAUCAGGACUCCCACUGUGCUCAUGAUACAUGUCCUGAGCACAGAAUGGGUCACACACACGUUCUCCCGUUCCUUCAGCUCUGAAAGUCAAAUUCUUUCUUCUGAAAAUGGAUGGGGUGCAGGUGCUGUCCCUCUUCCUAUGCCUUCCUGUACUCAGAGCAGAAAAGAAAUAAAGGAAAUAUUACCAGAGUGAAGAAAUGGAGCUUGUGAGUCCCUGAGGAAGAGAUGGAUGGGGGGUGAGGAUGGACAUGGCCAGAUGGGGAUGAUGACAGUUAGAAGGAGCCGGGGCUAGGGGAGAAGAAGGGUAGGAGGGAACUUGCUCUUAGUAUGUUCUCCCCAUGCUGAAAUUACUUGAUAUUACUCUAUAUCCAUGUGUGCUAGUAACCCCUCAAGCACACAAACAUCUGGAGUGGCAGUAAUAGCCUGGUCCCGCUGCAGGGCUUGCUUCUUUCCACCUCUGGAAAAGAGAAGAUGCCACCUCUGAGGAUACACAAUUUGAUGCAAGGAUAGCCACAGCGCUUGUUGCCCUUUUCCAGACCUCCAGUCUUAGUCAUCCUUCAUUAGGUUCCAAAUCAAAUUUGGUCACACAUAGAUGUUUAUGUCACGUUUUCAAGUGAGGGGUAGGCAGAGGAAGAGUUGCUUUCUUUCUGCAGCUGCCAGGCCAUUCACUGGCUCAGGCAGUCAGUGGUCAUUAGCGUGUUCCUCCCCUGCCCUUCUCAUAACGAACUUGGGCUCUUCCCAGAACUCAAACAAAUGGCAUUGCCUGUGUCCAACACAUGGAUGCUCCUUGUGCAGAGUGAUCCUGGGCAUGCUGCCACUGAGCCAUCUCAAGUACUAUGGUCAUCUUCCUUUCUGUCUUGAUUCCUUUAUUUCCCUUCUCUGCUUUCAGGGCUCCUAUUAAGUGCAUACCAGGCUCUCUGAUGUAAAGUCAGACAAUUCCAGUGACUAUCCCCCAAACUAGUGGCUACUCAGAAUCGCAGAAAAACACACUGAAGAAGCUCCUCACCAAGAUUUUCCCUGAUUCACUGUAGGGGCAGCUGGUAACAACACCCUGUAUUCAGGUCAUUAAAACCUUUCUAUUAUAGAAAAUCCCUGUGACCUUUUAUUUUGAGAAUCUCUCACAUUUCUGUUGUUUGUAGAAGGUGUUUGAUAUUCAGUAGAGGAAAUCCCCUUGGGCCACAGAAGUGUCUUCUCUUUGUCCCAUGAAAUUCCAUUCAGGAUGCAAAGUGACAAAAAUGGCUAUUACCCUGCUCUUAUUUUUAUACCUUGGGAAAACACUGGUAGGGUCCAGACUGCAGGCCAGGUUCACACUGGCACUGACAGCACCAAGAAACACACUGGACCAGCUGAAGCCAAGAAAAUGGAGAGGUAGGUGAAGAAGAGAAAAAGUCUGUGGUCUUGCAUUAUGAAAAGUUCCCAAAUGAGUAGUUUCCAUCCGAAACCACACCCUAAAAUCCUUAGUUCAAGAUGUCGGAGAAAGGUAUGUCAGACCAGGCUGCAUUUUGGCACCUUGUAGACUCAAGAUGUUUUCCUCAUUCACACAGUCACAAAAGCACCUUUCCUCAGCUAAUGUGCAUCUGUAUAAUAGCAGUUCUUGAUAACUCUAGCAACAGCAACCUGUACUGCAAUACACAAGGUUCAAGACUCACUCCUAACUCAUAAUGUUAAGGAAAUAUGAGAAAACGUUAAGAAAUAAGGAGUAUUAAAAUAAUUUACAGCAAGUAACUGUAAAUUAACUUUUGUGAGGCUGCAAUAGCUAGUACUUGAGAGUUAAGAAAAACCUCUGAACCCUAAUUUAUCCCCUUUUACAUGAAUGCACUCUGGUGCAAAGGUGUGUUAGAUAUGAACAUACUGCAUUUUCCAAUUGACCCUGUCUAAACCAGUAUUCAGGUGGAGGUAUUCAGGGGGUAAGAGCAGAUGAGCACAUACAACUAGAAUGCUGAUAUUUUAGUCUUAAACGCUUCAUUUUACAGUCCAAGUAAUUAUUUUCUUA